GGGGGGGGGGGGGGGGGGGGCGGGGGGGGGGGGGGCGAGCGGGCGGGGGAGCGGCGUGCUUCUCUGGUGUUAGCGGCGGACGAGUGAGUGACACGUGGGUACCCUACCUAUCAGCCUGGGAUACCUUCUGUACACCGGAGCUAAUCCCCGAUCAUAUUUUGAACCUCAUGGUUCAAAAGUGACAUACGGUCUUUCUGUCCCUUCUCGCUUGCUCCGCGCUGCAUUAGCUAUGUGGUACGGUAACGGCUUACCAAGGCAACGAUGCAUAGCCUACCUGAGAGGGUGAUCGGCCACACUGGAACUGAGACACGGUCCAGACGCCUACGGGAGGCAGCAGUAGGGAAUCUUCCGCAAUGGGCGAAAGCCUGACGGAGCAACGCCGCGUGAGUGAUGAAGGUCUUCGGAUCGUAAAACUCUGCUAUUAGGGAAGAACAUAUGUGUAAGUAACUGUGCACAUCUUGACGGUACCUAAUCAGAAAGCCACGGCUAACUACGUG
rnacentral:rRNA from 1 species